AGAGCGAACGCUGGCGGCAGGCCUAAUACAUGCAAGUCGAACGGACCCUUCGGGGUUAGUGGCGGACGGGUGAGUAACACGUGGGAACGUGCCCUUUGGUUCGGAACAACUCAGGGAAACUUGAGCUAAUACCGAAUGUGCCCCCAUCCUUAAACAAGAUGGGUGGGAAAGAUUUAUCGCCAUUGGAGCGGCCCGCGUCUGAUUAGCUAGUUGGUGAGGUAAAGGCUCACCAAGGCGACGAUCAGUAGCUGGUCUGAGAGGAUGAUCAGCCACACUGGGACUGAGACACGGCCCAGACUCCUACGGGAGGCAGCAGUAGGGAAUCUUGCGCAAUGGGCGAAAGCCUGACGCAGCCAUGCCGCGUGAAUGAUGAAGGUCUUAGGAUUGUAAAAUUCUUUCAGCGGGGACGAUAAUGACGGUACCCGCAGAAGAAGCCCCGGACUAACUUCGUGCCAGCAGCCGC
rnacentral:rRNA from 1 species